rnacentral:rRNA from 1 species
CGCGUAGGCGGCUUGUACAGUCAGACGUGAAAUUCCUGGGCUCAACCUGGGGGCUGCGUUUGAUACGUGCGGGCUUGAGUUCGGAAGAGGGUCGUGGAAUUCCCAGUGUAGAGGUGAAAUUCGUAGAUAUUGGGAAGAACACCGGUGGCGAAGGCGGCGACCUGGUCCGAUACUGACGCUGAGGCGCGAAAGCGUGGGGAGCAAACAGGAUUAGAUACCUUGGUAGUCCACGCCGUAAACGAUGUGCGCUGGAUGUUGGGUGACAUAGUCAUUCAGUGUCGUAGCUAACGCGAUAAGCGCACCGCCUGGGGGAGUACGGCCGCAAGGUUGAA